CUUUCUGAAUGUCAGAACCUCUCCCAGCACUGCCUCUUUUCAGUUUGAAUUGAAUUCUUGUUCCUCGUCAAGGACUGGGCAUGAUGAGUUUUUAGAUACUCCUCUGAACAGACACUGAGUAUUUGAGAAGCUGAUCAGUGAAAUUCUGACUUGUCACAGUUCGUACAUUGUCCCGGCAUCUUGGCAGCAGCGCUGGGAAGCUGCGCUGGUGAAUCCAGGUCCCCCAGUCUCCGAAGGAAGCACCCCUGAACGGGUCCCUGGGAUUAGGCAGGAAGCAGAGGUUUUAAUGAAGUAGACUCUAUUCUUCCAAGGGGUGAAGGGAGCAAAGAAGGGCAAAAGGGAGCUGGCUUCUGUCUGCAGUCCUGCCUUUCAUUUGCAACUGUGUGUUAAGGAAUCAGAGGCCUUUCAAAACAUGGUUUUGUAAACUUUGGAGCCGAAAGGCCAACGGGAGCGAUACACCAACCUGAGAUAGCACUCUAGCAAGGAAGGCAAUGCUGUCACUGCAGAGAGACUUGGAACAGAAGAAGUGACACUUGCAGUUACUGAGGCUGUCAGUCCAAAUCCGUGUUGUUUUGGUACCCUGGAUAAAGAUCCGGCCAACUUAAGAGCUGGCGACACGCCACGCAGACAGAUGGACACAGUGAAAUAUAAAUAUUCAUUCUGACAGUCAUCUCACUAAGUGGAGACAUCUAAAAUGCAGAAGACUUUCAGUAUAAGACUUACGUUGCAGAAUAGGAGCAAAAAUCUGCAUAGGGCAAUGGAAUCAACCUGCCAGGCCUUGGCUGCAGUGGUGUUUGAAGGUGUACGUGAGCACAGACUGCAGACUGCAUCCCAUGCUUUAAGAAUUCUCCCCUUAAUGGAGGAAGAGAGCAGUGAGAUCAACAAGCAAAGUAGCUGAGUACAAGGAGGUCAUGCAGCAGCGCUGAGUUCUGCUGCAAAGCUACAAGGAAACCCUGUCAGCUUCCAUCCCAUUAAACGAGCCAGGAGCUAUGUGUUGGACUCACUGGGACUACCAGCAAACCCCUCCCAAGCUGUCUGCUGGCUCUUGCUCACAUCCUCUAUCAAUUAUUCAGUUCCUUUUAUGCAAAUAAUGUUUCAUGGAAGCAAUAGAGAUUCAUAAUGGGGAGAAGAGUAACAUCCAUUUAGGAGAAUUAAAUGGUAGAUGAAAAGCGUGACACUUUGCAGGCAAAAGCUAUUGAAGUGGUGCAGUACCAGGACUCUUCAAAUGCAUGCACAGAUGGGGAGAGUCAAAGUUUUGGUUGCUUUUUUUUGACAAUCAGCUCUAUAGAAGAUUAAGUAAGGUGGGAAUAGACACACACUGCAGCAUCCCCAGUUCUGCCCAGGGGACAGAGAAAUGAGGCCUCUGCAGCAGACCUGUCGGUGCUCUGCAGGCUCUAAGCUCUCAUUUUGUGUCUUACAGAGGAUCUGUGCAGCAAGCCAGGAUGCCAGUGUGUCUGUACUACAGAGAGGCUUCACUGCUCUUUAGAGUCAGGAGUCACAGAAACCAAGGGCCUUUCCUGCGUUCUUUUAUCAGGCAAAACAUUGGUUUCAAAGCAUAGAUGGGAUCAAAACUCUGCUGUAGCCCCAUUACACUUCACAGGGCCAAACUCAGUCCUACUUCCUUCUGAGAUUCUUCCCACAGAAGAGAUUGGUGAGUAAAUGCAGACAAUCCUGGGCGCAUCCAGCCAAAGAACCGACCGUGCCUCUGUUGCAAGCCUUUAAAUCCUUGUCUGGGAUUUUACUUGAAGGUUUAUCCCUUGUCUUGUCAGUCAGCUCAUGGUGGUUUUCCUGCUGAACUGUCUGUGGGCUGUUUGGCCACUUAUGUCUGGGUCUGCACUGUCAAGUUUGGAAGUGGUGGUACCCCACUAAUGCUGCCACACUGCAAAGGCUGUGGUGGAGCUGCCUGUCCUGAACACAAACAGAUCAGUGGUGGUGAGAACACAUCUGUCAUCCUGGGUGCUCCAAUAUCAGUUAAAGAAUCUUAUAAUAAUGUUGAAUUUUGUACCAGAAAACCAGUGUUUGAUAAGGCAGAAGCACAGAAAUAGGACCACAGCCUCAAGGCUUCUGUCGGUGUCCUGUUGCCCUUUGCUGCACUGCUACUCUUUGUGUGCAGGGAGUGUGAAUCAAAAGCAAACAAAAUGUUAUUAAAACACAGAAUCAUAGAACCAUUUAGGUUGAAAAGACCUUUAAGACCAUCAAGUCCAGCCAUUAACCCAGCUCUGUCAAGUCCACCAUGUCCCUUCUUUCAAUCUUUCAGCUUAAUUUGGGAGACAACAGCCAACUGCUAAGAAAGUUCUCACAUCUUCUGAAUUUCCUGGAACACACAUGCAAGAUCCAGUGUUGCAUCUGUGUCUUCUAGAUAUAAAGACAUCUCUUCUAAAAGCUUUGUAAUGCAAGUGCCCUGUAUAUUUAUGGUGCUUCAGCAUUUAACUAUCUUUAAUGACACUGUUUUUCAAAAUGGAAAUUUUUUGCUAAACCGGCAGAGACAGAAAGUGUGUUUUAAUGGAGUGCAGUUAGCCUCCAAAAGCGAAAGAGGCUUCCAUUAUAAAAUUCUGCACUUAAAGGAGCCCUGGCUAUAGGCAGAGAUGGAAAAUUGAAAGAGUAUUAUGCAUGAUAGAUAAGUUCAAGAGAAUUAAAGCAUAGAUAAAUUCAGAGAAUCAAAAAGAAGCCAAGCUUCUUUACAGGAGGUACAGGUGUACUUCUGAUUUCAUGUUUACCACACUGUGCUUUUGCAGCCCAAGGAGAUGGAAGCUCUUCCUCUGUAACAGGCAGUGCUCUCCCUCUCAGGAGGAGGCAGCAGGCCAUUGAAACUCCGUGACCUCGGGAAACUUUGGCUGCCUUAAGGCACAGGAUAAUUCUACUCAAGAUGAUACAAGGGUCUUUCUGUAGGGUUCAGAAUUACACACAGAGCACAACAGCAAAACGCCACUCUGAGAAAUCUCUGCACAGAACUGAACUCACUCAGCCCUUUCCUCUCCCCUUAUCCUGCUUAAGGCUGAUUGUUAAGUCCUGCCUUAAAAUCCAGUUGUUACCUGUGUGGGGCUGGAAGUGCCCUUGACAGAGAUCAGUAACACAAAGCCACGGGUAGCAAAUGCUGCACGAGCAGUUCUACUCUUCUUUUUCCUCCACACAGUAUUUUUGAACCUGUUCACUCAUAAGGGACUGUAUUCUGUUGUUUUUUGUUGUUCCUCUGCUUACUUCAGUUACAUUUGUGUUUCUCUCUCCUUCAGGCUCCCUUUAGAGGCGCAAACUGUGUUCCCACCCUUCUGGCUCAGAGAACACCUGAAAACUGCUGCCAGGUGAGAGCCAGGCAGUGAGCUGUGUGAUUCAAGUUUUCUGUACCCAAACCAACCCAAAAUUUCAAGAAUGGGACCUAAAUCUUUGAUUUAUCCCGGUGCAAAUCUGUCACAACGCAGCUGAAGUGUGUCAGCUCUUGUUCCCCAGUGCACUCCGAGCAUGUAUUGGUAGCCCCGAUGUGGAAAUUCAGCGGUACAACAAAGACACCUCGUGGCUGCCCUGCAAACCACACACAGACAAAGAGCUCGCCAGCCAGGAGGGGGAUGUCUGCUCUAGUGGCAAUUUUCACACUUACCUCGACGGCUACUUAAAAGUAUAGUUAAUACCAACCCCUCUUUCAUAUCAAUUCGGAGAAACAAAAAAUGAUACUAAUCAGUUGAAUACAUUAUAUUAAUAGUGAAGAAUAAAUAAUGUACUUAAUAGAAAUGUGAUGUUCGAUUCUGAAUUAAGCAUAGGAACUCAAAUUAUUAGGUAAAAAAAUAACCCUUAAAAAUUCUAUUCGAUAAUUUAAUUUGAUCUGAUAUGUGAAGUGAAUGCUGUGAAAAAUUCAUCAAGUCUAGAAGUAAGCUCCUGUAUUAUAGUUCUCUAAAGUCUUCUAAGAACUUUAAUUUCAUAGUGACAUGGUAAAUUAUCAACAUUUGCUUUUAAACUACUUACAAUUCUGUUAGAAUUCAGCAGGUACAUGUUUAUAGUUUUUUAUACCAGUAUCUAUUUAAAACCCCUAUAUAAUCCUAUAUGCUGUACCCCAAACACUUUUUAAAAAAAAAUAUAAUAUGAAAAGUGAAACGUAUUUUUUUUAAAUAGAUAGAAUAAUAAAGUCCAUAAUUACAUUCAGAUGUAGUUUCAUUGUUACCCCUGGCAUCAGUUCUCACAAACAGAUUUAUGAGUAAAGCUCUACAGACACAGUAAGCCCAUUUAUUUUAACAAAGUGGCAAGAUUGUCUGAUUAAACUAUUUCUGAACAGCAAAACAAAAUCUUGCACAGUGAGUGUACCAGCAUAAAACCUUGAGCUAAUGUGUACUGAUGUUUUAUUUCCUUCCUCAUCUUUGCAUGAAAGUUCAUUGUAUCAUAACCAGUUCAGUAAAAAAGAAGAAUAAUUAAGUCAGAUCAUGAAGCUCUUGGAAAGUAGGCCAACCACUAGGUAGUAAAUUUGGAGAGAUCAGAUUCUACCCUCCAUUUUUUCUGGUUCAAAUCUGAAGAAAUCAUAUUAAAUCAGACUUACUAUAAACUAAAUUCUGAGAUUUUAUUGAUUUUUCUACCAGGGUGAGUGAAAACAAACCAAAGGCAUCUCUGAGUCCCACGGGCAUUCUGCAUAUGUGGAAAUGGUUGCUUCACUGAAUUAAAUAAUUUCUUUACAUAAUUGAUAUUUCAUAUUCAUUAUACAUUCACGAUCACUGUAUUAAAAUGAAAGUACAAGUGCCCAAACGCUCCCUUUGGUAACACCACUUAAGUCUGUGGAAAAAUGCUCAGAAUAAUAUUUUUCCCCCAGAAUUUCUCUUCUUUUUGCAGUUCUUUUGACCCUUAGGUUUGAUUUAGCUGGGGAGGCUAGAAACAACUCCACAUUAGACCACAGAAACUUUGUUUUAAAAAUAUCUAUUAAUUUAGAGGAGUAAUAAUUACAAUAAUACAUAUUUAAUACAUUAGUAACAUGACAUUCAGUCCUACCAGGUACCCCCAUGACAAGAACUUUGUUAUGUCCCCUUCAUGGAUGAAAGCAGGAAUUUGUUAAUUAACUUGGAGUUUUACUGCUAAUACAGACAAGCCAAGGUUUCACCUUCUACUUCAGUACAUCCCUCUACAAGCAUCAUUAGAACUUUGUUUUAGAAAGAAGAGUCUAUUUACAAAGAAGAUGAAACACUGAAUUUGCUUCCCUAAAACAGGUGAUUCAGGAAAAAAAAGCAGAGGAAUGUGCCAUUAGCGGUUCAUGAGCAUCCUGUUGCAUCUUUUAGCUCCAACUUAACUUGUUGGUUUCUCUGGUUAAUACGAAAGCUUUUAGCCCUGUUCCACUUGUGAUACCAUGAAACCAGCACUGUACUAGGGCACACCUGUCCUAGAAGUGCACCUGAAGGACCCCCUGAGAUAAUAACACAUUAUCUCAUUAUCCCUCUCCUCUACAGGCAGCUGGUGGAUGGAGUGAACUCCAAACCUACUGCCUGGUGCCAUCAAAGGAUAAAAUCCCAACAGUUUUAAAACACAGGUGUUUCCACUUGAGUCCAAAUUAUCCUUUUAAAAUCCUCUUCUAUUUUUUGCUAGAAUAUCCUCUCUGCUGAAAUAUAAUUUACAAACUAAAUAUUUAAAACCAGACAAAAUGAAGUCUGGAAGUUCUUAAUAUUCAGAAAUGCAGACAAAUGUGAUGCUCCCUUUUAAGUUGGGGACUGUAGAGGAGACUCCAGUUGUAAAACAAAGUUUUUUUGCUUAUUAAGCAAGGAUCCAGACUCCUUCUGUUGUACAUUAAACAGUGCAUGCCUCUGUAUAUUAAAGAGCUCAUUACCAUCUCUCUAAUAGAAUGGGAAAAUUCAAGCAUUUGUUACUUUUUGAAGUACAGUGAGGUGAAACUGUCUUUUAAGAGCUUUGCUUUCCUAUGUGGGUUGUUUCUUUUGAUCACAGCAAAGGAGAAUACACACUUUAAACUGUCAAGGGAAAUCUAUGUGUUAUACAUAGAAUUCACUUGCAUUAAUUAUCUUGCUGUAAAUUUAAGUUGCUAAUUAAAAGUCAUGCACAAGUGUUAUGAUUAAUUAGGUGACACACAAAGUGAGGACAAAAAUUCAGUAAAUGACACCAAAGAAUAAGGGAAAAAUGCAUGGGUUCAUAUGGUUUUUGGGGAUGGAAUGCAACUAUAAUUUUAUCUUAAAUGAUUACUUUUGUCUUCCUGCUUUGAUGCAUCAGUGAAUCUUCCUUGAAAUUCAAAAAAUAAGUGCUGAUUAAAGACAGAUCCAGCAAACAGAAACAAUGAAGAGUGUUGAUCAACAGCA